GUUCCCGUAGCGGAGUGGUUACCGCGUGACUCUUAUACACUAGGGAUUCCCCUUGGUAGUAUGGUAGAAAUGUCAAGGUCCGGGGUUCGACCCCCCGCGGGAACA
rnacentral:tRNA from 1 species